UAAAACUAGAAAUAAAAAAACUAUGAUGAAGGCCAAAACCAUGACACACACUAUGCUAUUACCUUCAGAGGAGAGGAGGCUCCGUGAAAUAUCAGAGACACUGCCAAAAUAAUUUUUACAAAGCAUUAUUACAUGGUUGUUGAUGUACACACUCUGAGAAGUUAUUUCCCUUCCUUGCAUUUAUUUCCAUGUAAAACUGACUUUGGGUUAUACAAGGACUUUGGGCUGAGUCCCUCGGUGCAACACUCCAGCUCAGCACUUAUGGAAUGCUGCAUGCCCGCCCACACAUCUUCACCCGCGGCUCCAUUGGAUGAAACAUCAUUUCCUGAGAUAUCACCCUGAAAUGUAUAGGGAGGCAACUGUCACUAUAUCAUGUAGAUGCAGUUACUGAGAUACACAGAGCCUAGAGGCUAGUAAAAGGCAGGGCCCGUUUGUGCCAUAGCCUCCGGUGGAAGAGCGUGGGAGAACAAUAGAACCCUUCCAUGUGUACAACACUGAGUUCAGAGUGUUCAAGGAGCUGGUUCCAAAGUUCUUAGAAAGAUAGCAAAAUCCGUAAUGAUGGGAAAAGAUGGAGUUACCCACUGUGGAUCCAUUCUGCAAUGUUUCUCCUUGAAGUGAGAUCAAAUGCCUGAGCACGAGUUGUCCUGAGGUCUCCUCCUUUUGAAAGAGAUUGGCCAGAAAUCAAUUGCCUGAUUGAAGUCAGCCUUGCUGUUAACUAAAGAUCAAGCCAGAUGGCGCAGGUCACUAAAGAUGACUGGUUCUGCCCCUGCUGGGAACAGUUCUUGGGCCAGCUGCUCUAAGUCCCCCGCCAGCUUUCCACAAAUGUCUGACCAUCUUGUCACCCUCUUCCUGCAGACAUGAUCAGACACAUUCCCUUCCCCUGAGCCUGUCUGUAGGGAACUGUGCAGUGCCAGCAGAGUUCUGGAAGGAUGAAGUGCUGAGUCUCUGUUGGGUACAGACACAUCCAGUUACUGGCAGGACAGAGUAGUGCUGUGGGCAUUUAAUCAAGAUUCUGUUAGGCAGGGAGGUGUGCUGAGGCUGGAGUUCAGCAGGGAAUGAGAGCAAUUGCUUAUAUUUCCUGAGGAGCUACGAUGGCCAGCUCAGCACUAAGUGCUUCAUAUACAUUACUUCAUUUAAUUCCCACAACAUUCCAGUGAGGCUGGUGGGUACUAGUACUGCUACUGUCCCUUUUCACAGAGAAGGAAACUGAGGUUCCAGGUCAUAAAGAAGUUGCUUAAGCAUACAGCUAAGAGCAGGAGAGCCAGGAUGUUAGCCAGUUGGUCUGAUUCCAGAGUAAGGUCUUCAGGUCUUGGAAUCAGAGUUGGUCUGAUUCCGAGGUUGGUCUGUCUGCAAAGACAUCAAGGAGUUCACAGUGCAGUGGGAGAGAGAGACAAGCCAGCUGGGAUUAUAUGAAAUGAUAUGAGGAUAUGAUAUGGUGGGCCUCGCCCAAUCAGCUGAAGGCCUGAAGAGAACAGAAGGCUGAACCUCCUGUGAGUAAAAGUCCUCCUGCCUGGAUGCUUUCAAACUGGGACAUCAGCUUUUUUUCCUGCCUUCAGACUCGAACUGAAGGAUCCACUCCACUCUUCCUGGGUCUCCAGCUUGCAGACUCCCUCUGCAGAUCUUGGGACCUGCCCACCUUUAUAAUUACGUGAACCAAUUCCUUAUAAUGAAUCGCUUUAUUUGCACACACACACGUCCUAUUGGUUGUUUCCCUGGAGAGCCGUGACUUGUACACACCCUGUUCUUAUUCUGUCACAAUGCCUGUUACAACAUCUCAGCACUGGCCAUUUAACUGCAUCUCCUACUGAGCUGGAAGCUCUGGUGGAUAGGGGCAGGUCUGCUCAUUCACUGCUGCCUUCCCUGCACCUGGUACCAUGCACACAGAAUAAGCCUAGCAGAAUGCCUGUGGAUGGACUGACCAAUGAAAGUAAUGAGGUGCUGGGACCCGAAGGCUGAGUGGCAUGAGUCAUGAGGAGGCAUAGGUGGAGUUGGAGGUGGGAGGAGGAUGAUGUAGCAAAGGUAUUUAUAUCAGCCAGAGUCCCAGCAGGAAGAUGGCAUCUUCCACAAGAUAAGUGGGCCAAGUUUAAAGAUGAGAUGAUCUACACAGGUCUGGGCAGGGCUAUGGGGUUCCCCAGGGGUGGAGGUGCCCCAGGGAGGGGAGUAGCACUAGCACUAAGCCUGAGAGUGCAGCCUGUGCAGUCACCUGUCAGUGCUCAGAGAGUCCCCGUGCUUCGUUUAACCCUCUGCUGUCACAUUCUUGAAAUCUCGAAUACUUUUUGAACAAGGGUUUUUGCAUUUCAUUUUGGCCUUGGGCCCUGCAAAUAAUGUAGCCCAUCUGCUUCGACCUCCUCCAAGUCUGAAGAGACAAAGGGAGGAAGGAAUGACAUUGGUUGGAGCCCAGCUAUGGGAAGGGCUGUUUAAUAGGGUCUGUUGUCUGAGGCCAGGCGCAGUGGCUCAUGCCUGUAAUCCCAGCACUUUGGGAGGCUGAGGCGGGAGGAUCACCGAGGUCAGGAGUUCGAGACCAGCCUGGCCAAGAUGGCGAAACCCCAUCUCUACUGAAAAUACAAAAAUUAGCCAGGUAUUGUCAUGCAUGCCUGUAAUCUCAGCUAUGUGGGAGGCUGAGGCAGGAGAAUCGCUCAAACCUGGGAGAUAGAGAUUGCAGUGAGCCGAGAUGGCACUGCUGCACGCCAGCCUGGGCAACAGAGCAAUACUCUGUCUAAAACAAAAACAAAAAACAGGGUCUGUGGCCCAAUACAGCAGCUACCAUCAUAACUGAGGCUUCCUAUGGAGGAAGAGGGUAUAAAUUCCCUGGCUCUUUCUCCUCCACCCUCAUGAAUCCUGCCAGUGCCUCCCACUGGCUGAAACGCACGAGAGCCUGUAAAUUCCCCAGGCACAGAACGAGGAUGUGAACUGCAGGUAGAAGACCUGGAGGGGGAAGGGAGACUAACGGCACACAUGUAUGCAAAGAAUCAAACGAUCUGCCCUUCCGCAGCCUGCAGGCUCCUACCUGUAUGGCACCUUCCUGCUCAGCCUCUAGAAACCACACCAUCCUCCAGGACCAUCCCAACAUCUUUGCUGCCCAUCCAGCUUGUUCACCUCCUCUGAGCCACUUGUAUAGCAUAUCUGAUCUGACUCCAUAUAUUUAUGCAUUUAAAACUGUAUAAAUAAUUUUAAAAAUUUAAAGGACAUACUUGAGGACCAUCUGAGAUACGGAAAUGAGAAGCACAGUCCCUGCUGGGGUAAACAGCUGCCCACAGUUGGUUCACACUCUUGGCUGGUCCCCUUCUAAGUGAGUCUAGCCUUAGCCAUGUGACUUGUUUGGCCAAUGGGACAACAGCAAAUGUAACACAAGUAGAGGGUUGAAACGUGCGUGCACAUCGAGUCCUGCCCUGUCUUGCUGCUGAAAACUGCUGCCACCACGUGAACAAGACUGGGUUGAUCACAUGAAGGAUAAGAGGUCCUAAUUAUCCCAGCAAUCCACACCAUGCCCGCUGAGGCCCCAGAAGCCCAAGGGAGGCCACAGAGACCAUCCAGCACUACACAGCUGGCCCAGACCAGAAAAUCCUCCCUCAAGGAACUUAAAGAAUAGUCCUGAACCUGCAGGAGACAGAUGUGUGGGCCAACAGUGACAGAGAGCACAGCAGUUACUUUGUCAGAGGCUUGUGUGGGUCAAGUGUGCAGAGCAGGGGAGCGUGGAGGGGGCCUGUGGGGACAGGAAGGACUGACAGAGGCCACCACAUAGGAGCUGAGACCUGCAGAAGGAGCAGACGCUGGCAAGUGUACCAGCAGCAGGAGGAUGCUCCCAGUGUUGGAGGACCCCAGAUGCAGGUAGACAUGAGGCAGACCUUGGCAUCUGAGGGCUCUGCAGGAAUCGUGUGCUGCUAAGGGGAACCUAUGAGAUGGGCUCACCCUGAAACAGAGAUGCUUCCUGCAGCCUGGCGCGGAAACUCAAGGGAAAGAUUGGCCAACUGAUUGUUCUCUUAAAUAUUCGGUUUGACUUUCCAGGUUUUUAUUACUUUUUAUUACCCACAUUUGGUGCGAGGGCAAAUCUGUUUAUAGACACCAUCGGCAGGGCCUUUGUGAGCAAGUCUGGGACUCUGCGAAAAAAUUCUUUGGGAGCCAGCAAGGGCAUAUGUGUAUGAUAUAGACCACCCAGGCACCCACCAGACCCCCAAGUUAUUUGUACUUUCAUCCUUCCACCCUGCUGGGCAAUUUAAAGUGAUUCGAGAUGAGACUUAAGGUUGUUAGUUAUUCAGCUGGUCUUGAAACCACCUUUGCAAAGAUUAUGACAGUAAGAAAAGUCUAGGUGGCUGACUCCAUCUUGCUUCUAGCCUCACAGGCUAGCUGUCCUUGCUCAUUCCUGGGCAUAGGCCAAGCUAACCACAGGAUGAAUUUAGUUUAUAAUUUAGCUUUGAAGCAAGAAUGAUAAUAGUUCCUUCCUAAAAUAGAUCCCCUCCUGGCUCAGAGACUGACACUGCCUUUGUAAAACUAAUGAAAGGCCAUGAAAUUAGGAUUAUGGGAGGGGCCGAAUUCUGCUAAAAUGUAGCUAUAAUUCCUAGCUGCUCAAGAGUCAUGUGGCCACAGAUCACAAGACUAGUGACUUCCCCCAAUAGCUCCCUAGUAAUGUCACUAUUGUGGAGCCUAAGAUUGGUCUUUUGAAAUGUUUUUCAGACUUUUGCAUUCUGGUGAUCAACAGACUCCACCCAGACCCAUGACUCAUGACUCAGUCAGUUCUGUGGCCCCACCCAGAGGUGGACUCAUUGCACAAGGGCCCUUUUCCACACCCUUAUGAUUUCAUCUCCGACCAAUCAGCAGCACCCAUUCCCUAGUCCCCUGCCCAUGAGACUGUCCAUAAAAGCCUAGCCUCUGAGUUCUUGGGAGACUGAUGUGAAUAAUAAACUCUCAAAUACUGCUUGGCUAGCCUUGAGAUAAUUAAACUCUCUACUGCAAUACUGCUGUCUCGCAAAAAGGAUCCAUGGGUAUCUAUAUUCUCUCUCUCUCUUACAUUCUCUCUGUCUCUCUCUCUCUAUUUUUGCAGUUCCCAGGGAACACUGGAAAAUGCAGUUUGUAGGGAAACAUCUUUCUUUCCAGCUCUUUUGAUGCCAAUAGCAACAAAGAGGCCACAUGACAUGCUCUGUGCUUCUUGGAGCAGAGCCCAGGGUCUAGUGGUUAACAGGGACAACUAAACUGUACUCUUCGGCCAUCAUAUCCAGGAUGCCACAUACCAUGCCUGGAAAAAAGUCCUCACUCAUGCUUAUUCUUGCUGUCACUCUCAUCUCUCUUGACCCCUUCUAUGACAGUUCAACACAAUUCACACUUUGUUAUUGUGUGAAAGAAAAAAAAAUUUUUUUUCCUCAUGAAGAUCUUGAAGAGAGCUGUUUCUGAGCGAUCAACCUGACUGUUGCAAGAAGGCAUGUGUUGACAUGUUGAUAUGACUGUGCUUUUCUUUCUUUUCAUUGUGAUUUGCUUAGUGGGGCAGCAGACAGAGAGGUGGGGCAGAGAUCCCUGUGAUCCUCAGAGGGACUGUGAAGGGCUGGGACUGCUGCCUUAGACCAAGUUUUCUUGUCAAUUGCAAUGUCUGCGUCAAAAUUUUUCUCCAAAUGAUGGUGGAGAUCCAGCACCUCAGCAGCGAGAAUUUGCCACGUGAAACAUAAACCAAAUUAUGCAAAACCCAUAAGACAUGUGAGCCAUCUGGGGGAUAAGGAUGUCUUCCCAACCAAGACUGGAAAUUCAGAAGCUAAAAUGAAAAAAAGUAGACUUAUUUCUAAAAUUUAAAAUAAAUACGAAAUUUUUAUGGCAAAAUGCAACAUAAAGUCAUCAAGCAGGACAUUUGGGGGAAAAUGAUAAUGCAGAGGACAAAGAUAUUACAUUUACACAAAGAGAUUUUAUAAAUCAACAAGGAGAAAAGUAUGAAUAAUUAUAGCAUUUGUGAACUUAUUAGCAACCUAGUAAAUAUUUUUAAAAAGAUUAUACCCUAUGACUUAACAUUCCAGGAUAUGUGUAUGAGGAUAUUUGCUAAGCUUUAUUCAAUAUGGCAAAGCAAAACAAAACAAAACAAAAAAUCUUGAAGCAUUUACUGAGCACAUUCUGCAUGGCAGAAACUGUGUUAAGUCCUCAUUCAACUGUUUGAACAGCACAAUGAGUCGGCCAUUAGACACAGCCCCUUAUUAGGAUGAGAAACUCUAGACUCAGAGAAGGCAAGCAAUUCAGUCAAGAUUAUACAAAGAAGCUACAUGGCAGUAAAUGCCAGAUAUGAAAAAAGAUGAAGCUAAAAAUGAAAAAAAAAGAAUAACAUCAAGAAAUGUAAAAGACAGAACUAAAACUUAAAGCUAAGGCCAGGAACGGUGGCCCACACCUGUCUUCCCAGCACGUUGGGAGGUUGAGGUAGGCAGAUCGUUUGAGCCCAGGAGUUUGAGACCAGCCUGGGCAACAUGGUGAAACCCUGUCUCUACAAAAAAUACAAAAAUUAGGGCUGGGCGCCAUGGCUCAUGCCUGUAAUCCCAGCACUUUGGGAGGCUGAAAGGUCAGGAGAUCGAGACCAUCCUGGCUAACAUGGUGAAAC
rnacentral:lncRNA from 1 species